CAGCUCUGGGGGGGUCUCCUUCCUCGGGAGGCAAAAUGGCAGGAGGAAGGAGGCACUCAUCCUGCAAUGGGAUGCUGAAGAACAGGCAGAAGGCAAGUUCGCUUGCUGGGUGGGAUCGCAGCUUGAAGGCAGCCGAUUCCCAGAGUCAGAAGCUGGCUGGUGUCUGGAAACAGACCUGGCAGAAGCUGGCAGAUGGAGUUUGCAUGUGGUCGAAGAGAAUGGCGUGUGUCUGCGUGUGUCAGUGGGAGCGUUCGGACAUGGUCGAGGAGGAUGGUGUGUUUCUGCGUGUGUGAGUGGGAGCAUUCGGACGUGGUCGAGGAGAAUGGUGUGUGUCUGGGUGUGUGAGUGGGAGCCUUUGGACGUGGUCGAGGAGAAUGGUGUGUGUGUGUGUCUGUGUGUCAGUGGGAGCGUUUGGACGUGGUCGAGGAGAAUGGUGUGUGUGUGUGUGUGAAUGGGAGCAGCCAGUGGAGGGUCUGGCUGAGGCUGUUGGACGGAGGCCAUCCCACUCACCAUGUUGUUUGCCUUUCAGGAAUCCGGUGAGGUUUUCCCCAAGACCGAUCAUGAAAGUAAUGAAGAGAACAGCAGGACGGAAGCAAAGCAGUUUAUAUUCCUAAAUAAAUGACCUUUUUUUUUUAAAAAAAAAAAAGCAAAACUGUGUCUGACU